AAUAGCCCUUGCCUUCUCCAUAGAGGCUUGCUGACCUGUCUUGCUAAUGGUGUGCUGCUGUUUCCCACCAUCCCAGCAUUAUGUAUAGCUCUAUGGAAAGAGUAUUCAGUCUGAACUACUCCUCAAGGAUCAUUCUUCUUUGUGUUGGUCACUGGUAAAGAAGGACAGAAGCCUUUGGCAUAAGGAAGGUAAGAAUCUGAAAGAGUGGAACAGUCAGACAAAGAGGUAUGACCUGUGAGUCUCAAUAUGUGAGGACCUUAAGGAUGCUCUAGUCUAUCUCUUCAAUCUCUUCAUGUCUCUGUGAGACA
rnacentral:lncRNA from 1 species